UACGAAGGGGGCUAGCGUUGUUCGGAUUUACUGGGCGUAAAGCGCACGUAGGCGGAUUGUUAAGUCGGGGGUGAAAUCCUGGAGCUCAACUCCAGAACUGCCUUCGAUACUGGCAAUCUCGAGUCCGGAAGAGGUAAGUGGAACUCCUAGUGUAGAGGUGGAAUUCGUAGAUAUUAGGAAGAACACCAGUGGCGAAGGCGGCUUACCAGAACGCGCUCGACGGUGAGGGAUGAAAGCUGGGGGAGCAAACCGGG
rnacentral:rRNA from 1 species